rnacentral:rRNA from 1 species
UACGUAGGGGGCAAGCGUUGUCCGGAAUCAUUGGGCGUAAAGAGCGUGUAGGCGGCCCGGUAAGUCCGCUGUGAAAGUCCAGGGCUCAACCCUGGGAUGCCGGUGGAUACUGGCAGGCUUGAAUCCGGGAGAGGGAUGUGGAAUUCCAGGUGUAGCGGUGAAAUGCGUAGAUAUCUGGAGGAACACCGGUGGCGAAGGCGGCAUCCUGGACCGGUAUUGACGCUGAGGCGCGAAAGCCAGGGGAGCAAAGCGGG